AGCAGCCGCCGCGGGAAAUACGAAGGGGGCUAGCGUUGUUCGGAUUUACUGGGCGUAAAGGGCGCGUAGGCGGACUGAUAAGUCAGGGGUGAAAUCCCAAGGCUCAACCUUGGAGCUGCCUUUGAUACUGUUUGUCUUGAGUUCGAGAGAGGUAAGUGGAACUGCGAGUGUAGAGGUGAAAUUCGUAGAUAUUCGCAAGAACACCAGUGGCGAAGGCGGCUUACUGGCUCGAAACUGACGCUGAGGCGCGAAAGCGUGGGGAGCAAACAGGAUUAGAUACCCCGGUAGUCCCUGUCUCUUAUU
rnacentral:rRNA from 1 species